UAAAGGAUGAGAAGGCGGAGAUAAAAGUUCUACCUUAAAUCUUAACGCCCAACGGUUAAGCAGGGUAGAAUACUUUAUCUCUAGAAGAUACUAGAAGCUAACGGAACGUACGGUGUAGGGGUGAAAUCCGUUGAUAUCGUACGGAACGCCGAAGGCGAAGGCAGUUAGCUAUGGUAUUCUUGACGCUGAUCCAUGAAAGCUAGGGGCGCAAACCGGAUUAGAUACCCGGGUAGUCCUAGCUGUAAACUAUGAAUGCUAACUCUGGCGAGUUCGACCCUCGCUGGGGUAAAGCUAACGCGUUAAGCAUCCCGCCUGGGGAGUACGUCGCAAGAACGAAACUCAAAGGAAUAGGCGGAAGGCUGCACAAGCGGUGGACCAUGUGGUUUAAUUCGACAGUAACCGAAAAAUCUUACCUGGGCUUGACAUAAUAGCCUCCUUUUCCGAAAGGAAAAGGAUGAUUACCAGGGUUAUUACAGGUGCUGCAUGGCCGUCGUCAGCUCGUGAUGUGAAUCGUAACCUUAAGUGGCACAACGAGCGCAACCCCUAUCCUAUGUUACAUGUGUCACAGGAGACUGCCGGGUAUAACCUGGAGGAAGGCGGGGAUGACGUCAGGUCUGCAUGGCCCUUAUGCCUGGGGAUGCAAACAUGGUACAAUGGUAGCUACAACGAGAAGCAAAGGCGUGAGCCGGAGCAAAUCUCUAAAAAGCUACCCCAGUUCGGAUUGAAGGCUGCAACUCGCCUUCAUGAAGCUGGAAUUGCUAGUAA
rnacentral:rRNA from 1 species